UACAGAGGUCCCAAGCGUUGUUCGGAAUUACUGGGCGUAAAGCGUGCGCAGGCGGUUGUGUAAGACAGAUGUGAAAUCCCCGGGCUCAACCUGGGAACUGCAUUUGUGACUGCACGGCUGGAGUGCGGCAGAGGGGGAUGGAAUUCCGCGUGUAGCAGUGAAAUGCGUAGAUAUGCGGAGGAACACCGAUGGCGAAGGCAAUCCCCUGGGCCUGCACUGACGCUCAUGCACGAAAGCGUGGGGAGCAAACAGG
rnacentral:rRNA from 1 species